rnacentral:lncRNA from 1 species
UCGCACCUGUUCUACCCAGAAGAGUGGCUCAAGUUCACAUUCAGAAUUUAUUUGUUGAAAGAGUAUCUCCACUUUAUCACAAUCGAGCACUUCCAAUUCUUUCAGAAGUGGCCAGCUUGAACUAAACCUUCUAGAGCAAAAUCUUUUCAGUUGGUGUAAACCGGAGAGUGUGAGAGAGGUAAGGUUAGGGAAUAAGAGUAAAGGUGCUGCUUCAUCUUCAUUUUCAUUGGCAACAAUUGCCUCCACUCCACUCUCCGAUAUAUAUAGGUCCUCAAGAUGCACAAGAGCACUCGCCACAGAAACCGGAAAAAGGUUUAGCAGUUUGUUGCAUCCCCUUACUUGCAAUUUCCUUAAUUUGGAAAAUGAAUUUGCUGGAAGUUGGUCAGGCCACAAUGCUCUUAUAUUAUCUAGUCCGCGUACAGACAAGGACUCCAACCCUGGGAGUGCAACCUCUGCAAUUGAUGAUCCCUUUAGUUAAUAAUAUAUACAUAUACAUUCCUAAUAAUUAGACACAUGUAAAUAGAAAAUAAGAGGUUAAAGGAGAAUAUAUCAGUAUAACAAAGCACAAAAUUUAAACUAGAUUCAAGAAGAUCAAGAAAGAGAAAAGAAAAGAAAAAGCCUCCAGAUUUUGAAGAUACAAUGAAACUUAAAAAAAAAAAAAAAAACCUUCAAAUUUUCCUUUCGAAAUGAGCUAAUAAGAGGAUUUUUUUUUUCUUUUUUCUUUGCAUCUCUUUCAAAUUUGAUUAACUUCUAUGGAAAACGUAUUUUAACUAGUUAUGGAAAACGGAUAUUUUUUUUUUAACUUUUAUAUAAGAUACAAGUAAUACUUUAAAAAAAUUGUGAUAUCUAAAUAAUUUUUUGAAAAAUUAUUUUGAAAGAAAUAAGGUAAAUCUAUACUUUUUGUAUAAGAUGUUCAACCUUUAUAUACAAAUUUCUAAUUUUUUUUUUUAAAGUGUAUCCAAAUGGACACUAAACUAUCUAGUUUUUAAUUGUUACAACUUUGAAUUGGAUUUUAUGGUAAACUAAUUUACAAGUUAAUGCAUGGAUUCAUCUUAGAUUCCAUCUAUAAAUUUUUUUAAUUAUCUAAUAUAAGACAUUAUAUUAAUGGGUUGAAUUAAUAAUGUAAUUAUAAUUUAUUUGGCAACUUUCUUCCUUCAAAUAUAUAAAAUGAAAAUAAAUUUUAAAAAAUAAAAAAAAUGAAAAAAAUAAAAAAUAAAAAAAGAUUUUUUUUAUAGUUUUUCUAAGGUGAUUUUGUAGAGUAUUGUUAGUUUAUAGUUUUAACUUUAUUUCAUUUUACUUUUAACUUUAUUUAUUGAGGUAUGUUCUUUUUUGCAACUCUUGUUUAGAUUUUAUAGAGAAUAUAAAUUUUAAGAAAAAAAAUGAAAUUUAAAUAAAAUAAGAAUAAAGAAAGGCAAAAGGUGGAUGAAUUUUCUUAAGGCAAAAGUUUGAUAACUUGGCACUAUCAUGUAAUGGGUGAAAUUUUUAAAUACUCAACAAAGGCUAGUGAAAUUUAAAUUAAAAGCUUGACAUGUACCUUUUCGACCAAAAUCUUUGGAGUUGGUGUAAAGUUUUGAGUAUGAGAGAGGUUAGUAUAGGGAAUAUUAUUGCACAUUAGUUCAAAUAAAACAUCAACAUUUUUUUUUGUUAAAUUCUAAAUGAACACCACUAUAAAUUAAUGCGAUUUUGUAUGCUCAAUUAAAUAAACUCGUUCUUAAGGCAUCACAUGAAGUGUUUAAGUCUAAUUAAUAUUAAUUAAAAAUGAUUAUAUUAAAAAAAAUCCAAAGUAAUUUAUUUUUAUCAUAAGUCAAGUAGGAUAGUUUUAUAAAUAAUUGGUUCUAGUUUCUAGUAUUAUUGUACACAAUCGCUAUGUUUGUUGCACCUCCAAAAAAUCUACUACUUGUAAUUAAUUGUAUAUUAUUCUCCAUAUUCACAUCAGUUUAUGUAGUAUGAUUAAUUUAGCAACAAAAUAUAAGUUUACUUGAAAUCGCUUUAAAUUCCUAUGAUAUUAAAGUUUAAGAUUAAAACAAUGUAACAUUAGCCAAAAAGAUUAAGAUCUAUAAUGUAACAUAUAAAAUUUAGAAAAUUCAAGGAAGGGUAAACUCGCACCUGUUCUACCCAGAAGAGUGGCUCAAGUUCACAUUCAGAAUUUAUUUGUUGAAAGAGUAUCUCCACUUUAUCACAAUCGAGCACUUCCAAUUCUUUCAGAAGUGGCCAGCUUGAACUAAACCUUCUAGAGCAAAAUCUUUUGAGUUGGUGUAAACCGGAGAGUGUGAGAGAGGUAAGGUUAGGGAAUGAGAGUAAAGGUGCUGCUUCAUCUUCAUUUUCAUUGGCAACAAUUGCCUCCACUCCACUCUCCGAUAUAUAAAGGUCCUCAAGUUGCACAAGAGCACUCGCCACAGAAACCGGAAAAAGGUUUAGCAAUUUGUUGCAUCCCCUUCCUUGCAAUUUCCUUAAUUUGGAAAAUGAAUUUGCUGGAAGUUGGUCAGGCCACAAUGCUCUUAUAUUAUCUAGUCCACGUACAGACAAGGACUCCAAGCCUGGGAGUGCAACCUGUGCAAUUGAUGAUCCCUUUAGUUAAUAAUAUAUACAUAUACAUUCCUAAUAAUUAGACACAUGUAAAUAGAAAAUAAGAGGUUAAAGGAGAAUAUAUCAGUAUAACAAAGCACAAAAUUUAAACUAGAUUCAAGAAGAUCAAGAAAGAGAAAAGAAAAGAAAAAGCCUCCAGAUUUUGAAGAUACAAUGAAACUUAAAAAAAAAAAAAAAAAAACUUCCAAAUUUUCCUUUCGAAAUGAGGUAAUAAGAGGAUUUUUUUUUUCUUUUUUCUUUGCCUCUCUUUCAAAUUUGAUUAACUUCUAUGGAAAACGUAUUUUAACUAGUUAUGGAAAACCGAUUUUUUUUUUUUUAACUUUUAUAUAAGAUACAAGUAAUACUUUAAAAAAAUUGUGAUAUCUAAAUAAUUUUUUGAAAAAUUAUUUUUAAAGAAAUAAGGUAAAUCUAUACUUUUUGUACAAGAUGUUCUACCUUUAUAUACAAAUUUCUGAUUUUUUUUUUAAAAGUGUAUCCAAAUGGACACUAAACUAUCUAGUUUUUAAUUGUUACAACUUUGAAUUGGAUUUUAUGGUAAACUAAUUUACAAGUUAAUGCAUGGAUUCAUCUUAGAUUCCAUCUAUAAAUUUUUUUAAUUAUCUAAUAUAAGACAUUAUAUUAAUGAGUUGAAUUAAUAAUGUAAUUAUAAUUUAUUUGGCAACUUUCUUCCUUCAAAUAUAUAAAAUGAAAAUAAAGUUUAAAAAAUAAAAAAAAUGAAAAAAAUAAAAAAUAAAAAAUGAUUUUUUUUAUAGUUUUUCUAAGAUGAUUUUGUAGAGUACUGUUAGUUUAUAGUUUUAACUUUAUUUCAUUUUACUUUUAACUUUAUUUAUUGAGGUAUGUUCUUUUUUGAAACUCUUGUUUAGAUUUUAUAGAGAAUAUAAAUUUUAAGAAAAAAAAUGAAAUUUAAAUAAAAUAAGAAUAAAGAAAGGCAAAAGGUGGAUGAAUUUUUUUAAGGCAAAAGUUUGAUAACUUGGCACUAUCAUGUAAUGGGUGAAAUUUUUAAAUACUCAACAAAGGCUAGUGAAAUUUAAAUUAAAAGCUUGACAUGUACCUUUUCGACCAAAAUCUUUGGAGUUGGUGUAAAGUUUUGAGUAUGAGAGAGGUUAGUCUAGGGAAUAUUAUUGCACAUUAGUUCAAAUAAAACAUCAACAUUUUUUUUUUGUUAAAUUCUAAAUGAACACCGCUAUAAAUUAAUGCGAUUUUGUAUGCUCAAUUAAAUAAACUUGUUCUUAAGGCAUCACAUGAAGUGUUUAAGUCUAAUUAAUAUUAAUUAAAAAUGAUUAUAUUAAAAAAAAUCCAAAGUAAUUUAUUUUUAUCAUAAGUCAAGUAGGAUAGUUUUAUAAAUAAUUGGUUCUAGUUUCUAGUACUAUUGUACACAAUCGCUAUGUUUGUUGCACCUCCAAAAAAUCUACUACUUGUAAUUAAUUGUAUAUUAUUCUCCAUAUUCACAUCAGUUUAUGUAGUAUGAUUAAUUUAGCAACAAAAUAUAAGUUUACUUGAAAUCGCUUUAAAUUCCUAUGAUAUUAAAGUUUAAGAUUAAAACAAUGUAACAUUAGCCAAAAAGAUUAAGAUCUAUAAUGUAACAUAUAAUAUUUAGAAAAUUCAAGGAAGGGUAAACUCGCACCUGUUCUACCCAGAAGAGUGGCUCAAGUUCACAUUCAUAAUUUAUUUGUUGAAAGAGUAUCUCCACUUUAUCACAAUCGAGCACUUCCAAUUCUUUCAGAAGUGGCCAGCUUGAACUAAACCUUCUAGAGAAAAAUCUUUUGAGUUGGUGUAAACCGGAGAGUGUAAGAGAGGUAAGGUUAGGGAAUAAGAGUAAAAGUGCUGCUUCAUCUUCAUUUUCAUUGGCAACAAUUGCCUCCACUCCACUUUCCGAUAUAUAUAGGUCCUCAAGUUGCACAAGAGCACUCGCCACAGAAACCGGAAAAAGGUUUAGCAAUUUGUUGCAUCCCCUUACUUGCAAUUUCCUUAAUUUGGAAAAUGAAUUUGCUGGAAGUUGGUCAGACCACAAUGCUCUUAUAUUAUCUAGUCCGCGUACAGACAAGGACUCCAAACCUGGGAGUGCAACCUGUGCAAUUGAUGAUCCCUUUAGUUAAUAAUAUAUACAUAUACAUUCCUAAUAAUUAGACACAUGUAAAUAGAAAAUAAGAGGUUAAAGGAGAAUAUAUCAGUAUAACAAAGCACAAAAUUUAAACUAGAUUCAAGAAGAUCAAGAAAGAGAAAAGAAAAGAAAAAGCCUCCAGAUUUUGAAGAUACAAUGAAACUUAACAAAAAAAAAAAAAAACCACCAAAUUUUCCUUUCGAAAUGAGGUAAUAAGAGGAUUUUUUUUUUUUCUUUUUUCUUUGCCUCUCUUUCAAAUUUGAUUAACUUCUAUGGAAAACGUAUUUUAACUAGUUAUGGAAAACAUAUUUUUUUUUUAAAAAACUUUUCUAUAAGAUACAAGUAAUACUUUAAAAAAAUUGUGAUAUCUAAAAAAUUUUUUGAAAAAUUAUUUUUAAAGAAAUAAGGUAAAUCUAUACUUUUUGUAUAAGAUGUUCUACCUUUAUAUACAAAUUUCUGAUUUUUUUUUUAAAAGUGUAUCCAAAUGGACACUAAACUAUCUAGUUUUUAAUUGUUACAACUUUGAAUUGGAUUUUAUGGUAAACUAAUUUACAAGUUAAUGCAUGGAUUCAUCUUAGAUUCCAUCUAUAAAUUUUUUUAAUUAUCUAAUAUAAGACAUUAUAUUAAUGGGUUGAAUUAAUAAUGUAAUUAUAAUUUAUUUGGCAAGUUUCUUCCUUCAAAUAUAUAAAAUGAAAAUAAAUUUUAAAAAAUAAAAAAAAUGAAAAAAAUAAAAAAUAAAAAAAGAUUUUUUUUAUAGUUUUUCUAAGAUGAUUUUGUAGAGUACUGUUAGUUUAUAGUUUUAACUUUAUUUCAUUUUACUUUUAACUUUAUUUAUUGAGGUAUGUUCUUUUUUGAAACUCUUGUUUAGAUUUUAUAGAGGAUAUAAAUUUUCAGAAAAAAAAAAUUAAAUUUAAAUAAAAUAGGAAUAAAGAAAGGCAAAAGGUGGAUGAAUUUUUUUAAGGCAAAAGUUUGAUAACUUGGCACUAUCAUGUAAUGGGUGAAAUUUUUAAAUACUCAACAAAGGCUAGUGAAAUUUAAAUUAAAAGCUUGACAUGUACCUUUUCGACCAAAAUCUUUGGAGUUGGUGUAAAGUUUUGAGUAUGAGAGAGGUUAGUCUAGGGAAUAUUAUUGCACAUUAGUUCAAAUAAAACAUCAACAUUUUUUUUUUUGUUAAAUUCUAAAUGAACACCACUAUAAAUUAAUGCGAUUUGUAUGCUCAAUUAAAUAAACUCGUUCUUAAGGCAUCACAUGAAGUGUUUAAGUCUAAUUAAUAUUAAUUAAAAAUGAUUAUUUUAAAAAAAUCCAAAGUAAUUUAUUUUUAUCAUAAGUCAAGUAGGAUAGUUUUAUAAAUAAUUGGUUCUAGUUUCUAGUAUUAUUGUACACAAUCGCUAUGUUUGUUGCACCUCCAAAAAAUCUACUACUUGUAAUUAAUUGUAUAUUAUUCUCCAUAUUCACAUCAGUUUAUGUAGUAUGAUUAAUUUAGCAACAAAAUAUAAGUUUACUUGAAAUCGCUUUAAAUUCCUAUGAUAUUAAAGUUUAAGAUUAAAACAAUGUAACAUUAGCCAAAAAGACUAAGAUCUAUAAUGUAACAUAUAAAAUUUAGAAAAUUCAAGGAAGGGUAAACUCGCACCUGUUCUACCCAGAAGAGUGGCUCAAGUUCACAUUCAGAAUUUAUUUGUUGAAAGAGUAUCUCCACUUUAUCACAAUCGAGCACUUCCAAUUCUUUCAGAAGUGGCCAGCUUGAACUAAACCUUCUAGAGCAAAAUCUUUUGAGUUGGUGUAAACCGGAGAGUGUGAGAGAGGUAAGGUUAGGGAAUGAGAGUAAAGGUGCUGCUUCAUCUUCAUUUUCAUUGGCAACAAUUGCCUCCACUCCACUCUCCGAUAUAUAAAGGUCCUCAAGUUGCACAAGAGCACUCGCCACAGAAACCGGAAAAAGGUUUAGCAAUUUGUUGCAUCCCCUUACUUGCAAUUUCCUUAAUUUGGAAAAUGAAUUUGCUGGAAGUUGGUCAGGCCACAAUGCUCUUAUAUUAUCUAGUCCGCGUACAGACAAGGACUCCAAACCUGGGAGUGCAACCUGUGCAAUUGAUGAUCCCUUUAGUUAAUAAUAUAUACAUAUACAUUCCUAAUAAUUAGACACAUGUAAAUAGAAAAUAAGAGGUUAAAGGAGAAUAUAUCAGUAUAACAAAGCACAAAAUUUAAACUCUAUUCAAGAAGAUCCAGAAAGAGAAAAGAAAACGCCUUUUGAUUUUGAAGAUCCAAUGAAACUUUAAAAAAAAAAAAAAAAACCUCCAAAUUUUGCUUUCCAAAUGAGGUAAUAGGAGGAUAUUUUUAUUUUAUUUUUUCUUUGCCUCUCUUUCAAAUUUGAUUAACUUCCAUGGAAAACGUAUUUUAACUAGCCAUGGAAAAUGGAUUUUUUUUUUAAAACUUUUAUAUAAGAUACAAGAACUCUUAGAGGGUUACAUUAUGUAAGUAAUACUUUAAAAAAAAUGUUUAAAAAUAUUGUGAUAUCCAAAAAUUUUACUACCUCGGAUUUUAAAUUUUAAAAAAAUUAUUUUUAAAGAAAUAAGGUAAAUCUAUACUUUUUCGUAUAAGAUAUUCUACCUUUAUAUACAAAUUUCUGAUUUUUUUUUUAAAGUGUAUCCAAAUGGACACUAAACUAUCUAGUUUCGAAUUUUUACAACUUUGAAUUGGAUUUUAUGGUAAACUAAUUGACAAUAUAACGCAUGGAUUCAUCUUAGAUUCCAUCUAUAAAUUUUUUAAUUAUCUAAUAUAAGACAUUAUAUUAAUGGGUUGAAUUAAUAAUGUAAUUAUAAUUUAUUUGGCAACUUUCUUCCUUCAAAUAUAUAAGACGAAAAUAUAUUUUAAAAAAUAAAAAAGAAUGAUAAAAAAUAGAAAAUAAAAAUAGCUUAUUUUAUUGUUUUUCUAAGAUGAUUUUGUAGAGUGUUAGUUUAUAGUUUAACUUUAUUUCAUUUUACUUUUAACAUUAUUUAUUGAGGUAUGUUCUUUUUUGAAACUCUUGUUUAGAUUUUAUAGAGAAUAUAAAUUUUAAGAAAAAAAAUGAAAUUUAAAUAAAAUAAGAAUAAAGAAAGGCAAAAGGUGGAUGAAUUUUUUGAAGGCAAAAGUUUGAUAAUUUGGCACUGUCAUGUAAUGGGUGAAAUUUUUAAAUACUCAACAAAGGCUAGUGAAAUUUAAAUUAAAACCUUGACAUGUACCUUUUCGACCAAAAUCUUUGGAGUUGGUGUAAAGUUUUGAGUAUGAGAGAGGUUAGUCUAGGGAAUAUUAUUGCACAUUAGUUCAAAUAAAACAUCAACAUUUUUUUUUGUUAAAUUCUAAAUGAACACCACUAUAAAUUAAUGCGAUUUUGUAUGCUCAAUUAAAUAAACUCGUUCUUAAGGCAUCACAUGAAGUGUUUAAGUCUAAUUAAUAUUAAUUAAAAAUGAUUAUAUCAAAAAAAAUCCAAAGUAAUUUUUUUUUAUCAUAAGUCAAGUAGGAUAGUUUUAUAAAUAAUUGGUUCUAGUUUCUAGUAUUAUUGUACACAAUCGCUAUGUUUGUUGCACCUCCAAAAAAUCUACUACUUGUAAUUAAUUGUAUAUUAUUCUCCAUAUUCACAUCAGUUUAUGUAGUAUGAUUAAUUUAGCAACAAAAUAUAAGUUUACUUGAAAUCGCUUUAAAUUCCUAUGAUAUUAAAGUUUAAGAUUAAAACAAUGUAACAUUAGCCAAAAAGACUAAGAUCUAUAAUGUAACAAAUAAAAUUUAGAAAAUUCAAGGCAGGGUAAACUCGCACCUGUUCUACCCAGAAGAGUGGCUCAAGUUCACAUUCAGAAUUUAUUUGUUGAAAGAGUAUCUCCACUUUAUCACAAUCGAGCACUUCCAAUUCUUUCAGAAGUAGCCAGCUUGAACUAAACCUUCUAGAGCAAAAUCUUUUGAGUUGGUGUAAACCGGAGAGUGUGAGAGAGGUAAGGUUAGGGAAUAAGAGUAAAGGUGCUGCUUCAUCUUCAUUUUCAUUGGCAACAAUUGCCUCCACUCCACUCUCCGAUAUAUAUAGGUCCUCAAGUUGCACAAGAGCACUCGCCACAGAAACCCGAAAAAGGUUUAGCAAUUUGUUGAAUCCCCUUACAUGCAAUUUCCUUAAUUUGGAAAAUGAAUUUGUUGGAAGUUGGUCAGGCCACAAUGCUCUUAUAUUAUCCAGUCCGCAUACAUACAAGGACUCCAAGCCUUGGAGUGCAACCUGUGCAAUUGAUAAUCCCUUUGGUUAAUAAUAUAUACAUAUACAUUCCUAAUGAUUAGACACAUGUAAAUAGAAAAUAAGAGGUUAAAGGAGAAUAUAUCAGUAUAACAAAGCACAAAAUUUAAACUAGAUUAAAGAAGAUCAAGAAAGAGAAAAGAAAAGAAAAAGCCUCCAGAUUUUGAAGAUACAAUGAAACUUAAAAAAAAAAAAAAAAAACCUCCAAAUUUUCCUUUCGAAAUGAGGUAAUAAGAGGAUUUUUUUUUUCUUUUUUCUUUGCCUCUCUUUCAAAUUUGAUUAACUUCUAUGGAAAACGUAUUUUAACUAGUUAUGGAAAACGGAUUUUUUUUUUUAAAAACUUUUAUAUAAGAUACAAGUAAUACUUUAAAAAAAUUGUGAUAUCUAAAAAAUUUUUUGAAAAAUUAUUUUUAAAGAAAUAAGGUAAAUCUAUACUUUUUGUAUAAGAUGUUCUACCUUUGUAUUCAAAUUUCUGAUUUUUUUUUUUUAAAGUGUAUCCAAAUGCACACUAAACUAUCUAGUUUUUAAUUGUUACAACUUUGAAUUGGAUUUUAUGGUAAACUAAUUUACAAGUUAAUGCAUAGAUUCAUCUUAGAUUCCAUCUAUAAAUUUUUUUAAUUAUCUAAUAUAAGACAGUAUAUUAAUGGGUUGAAUUAAUAAUGUAAUUAUAAUUUAUUUGGCAACUUUCUUCCUUCAAAUAUAUAAAAUGAAAAUAAAUUUUAAAAAAUAAAAAAUAAAAAAAAGAUUUUUUUUAUAGUUUUUCUAAGAUGAUUUUGUAGAGUUCUGUUAGUUUAUAGUUUUCACUUUAUUUAUUGAGGUAUGUUCUUUUUUGAAACUCUUGUUUAGAUUUUAUUGAGAAUAUAAAUUUUAAGAAAAAAAAUAAAAUUUAAAUAAAAUAAGAAUAAAGAAAGGCAAAAGCUGGAUGAAUUUUUUUAAGGCAAAAGUUUGAUAAUUUGGCACUCUCAUGUAAUGGGUGAAAUUUUUAAAUACUCAACAAAGGCUAGUGAAAUUUAAAUUAAAACCAUGACAUGUACCUUUUAGACCAAAAUCUUUGGAGUUGGUGUAAUGUUUUGAGUAUGAGAGAGGUUAGUCUAGGGAAUAUUAUUGCACAUUAGUUCAAAUAAAACAUCAACAUUUUUUUUUGUUAAAUUCUAAAUGAACACCACUAUAAAUUAAUGCGAUUUUGUAUGCUCAAUUAAAUAAACUCGUUCUUAAGGCAUCACAUGAAGUGUUUAAGUCUAAUUAAUAUUAAUUAAAAAUGAUUAUAGUAAAAAAAAUCCAAAGUAAUUUUUUUUUAUCAUAAGUCAAGUAGGAUAGUUUUAUAAAUAAUUGGUUCUAGUUUCUAGUAUUAUUGUAGACAAUCGCUAUGUUUGUUGCACCUCCAAAAAAUCUACUACUUGUAAUUAAUUGUAUAUUAUUCUCCAUAUUCACAUCAGUUUAUGUAGUAUGAUUAAUUUAGCAACAAAAUAUAAGUUUACUUGAAAUGGCUUUAAAUUCCUAUGAUAUUAAAGUUUAAGAUUAAAACAAUGUAACAUUAGCAAAAAAGAUUAAGAUCUAUAAUGUAACAAAUAAAAUUUAGAAAAUUCAAGGCAGGGUAAACUCGCACCUGUUCUACCCAGAAGAGUGGCUCAAGUUCACAUUCAGAAUUUAUUUGUUGAAAGAGUAUCUCCACUUUAUCACAAUCGAGCACUUCCAAUUCUUUCAGAAGUAGCCAGCUUGAACUAAACCUUCUAGAGCAAAAUCUUUUGAGUUGGUGUAAACCGGAGAGUGUGAGAGAGGUAAGGUUAGGGAAUAAGAGUAAAGGUGCUGCUUCAUCUUCAUUUUCAUUGGCAACAAUUGCCUCCACUCCACUCUCUGAUAUAUAUAGGUCCUCAAGUUGCACAAGAGCACUCGCCACAGAAACCCGAAAAAGGUUUAGCAAUUUGUUGAAUCCCCUUACAUGCAAUUUCCUUAAUUUGGAAAAUGAAUUUGUUGGAAGUUGGUCAGGCCACAAUGCUCUUAUAUUAUCCAGUCCGCAUACAUACAAGGACUCCAAGCCUGGGAGUGCAACCUGUGCAAUUGAUAAUCCCUUUGGUUAAUAAUAUAUACAUAUACAUUCCUAAUAAUUAGACACAUGUAAAUAGAAAAUAAGAGGUUAAAGG